UACGAACUGUGCAAACGUUAUUCGGAAUCACUGGGCUUAAAGGGUGCGCAGGCGGUCUGCUAAGCAGGGUGUGAAAGCCCCCGGCUCAACCGGGGAACGGGCGCCGAUACGACCGCCCUCGAGGAACGUAGGGGGACCUGGAACUUCCGGUGGAGCGGUGAAAUGCGUUGAGAUCGGAAGGAACGCCCGUGGCGAAAGCGAGGUCCUGGACGUUUACUGACGCUGAGACGCGAAAGCCAGGGGAGCGAACGGG
rnacentral:rRNA from 1 species